rnacentral:rRNA from 1 species
UACGAAGGGGGCUAGCGUUGUUCGGAAUUACUGGGCGUAAAGCGCACGUAGGCGGAUAUUUAAGUCAGGGGUGAAAUCCCGGGGCUCAACCCCGGAACUGCCUUUGAUACUGGGUAUCUGGAGUAUGGAAGAGGUGAGUGGAAUUCCGAGUGUAGAGGUGAAAUUCGUAGAUAUUCGGAGGAACACCAGUGGCGAAGGCGGCUCACUGGUCCAUUACUGACGCUGAGGUGCGAAAGCGUGGGGAGCAACAGG